UCCGUAGGCGGGUAAUUAAGUCAGAGGUGAAAUCCCACAGCUUUACUGUGGAACUGCCUUAGAUACUGGUUAUCUUGAGUUUUAGUGAAGUAGAUAGAAUGUGUAGUGUAGCGGUGAAAUGCAUAGAUAUUACACAGAAUACCGAUUGCGAAGGCAGUCUACUAACUAACAACUGACGCUAAUGGACGAAAGCGUGGGGAGCGAACAGGAUUAGAUACCCUGGUAGUCC
rnacentral:rRNA from 1 species